UAUACAAACCAUAUUAAUAGUCCCGUUGUUGGAUAAGCAGAGUCCCAUUGGAUCCCUGUGAAUCUCACUCAAUAUGUGGUUCUUUUGCCAAUAGCAGUGCUUCACAAGGUCCCACUCAAAUUUACCUGCUAUUGCUUAUCUACAGUCCGAGGAUAGAUUUAGGACAGAGGACGUGGUAUCACUAUAGAAAAUCUAUGGAUAUUCAAAUUGAUGUCUGCAAAAUGCUACACUUAUAGAAUUGUAUGUGUUUUGAUCUCUUCAUUUGACCUGAAAUCCUGCCUUUUCUGUUUCUAAUCAUGUUGAAACACACCUAUGUAUUUGGAGAAGCAUGAAAUAGCUUCACAAUCCCAGAAAAACAGCUUGUUGGUCAGUAGUGGGAUCCUACCUUAGUCGCUACUGCUUUGGUGGGUGAUCGUGCAUGAGUGCGCCCCUAACACACACACCCCUAACAAGC